rnacentral:rRNA from 1 species
UCCAGACUCCUACGGGAGGCAGCAGUGGGGGAUAUUGCACAAUGGGGGGAACCCUGAUGCAGCGACGCCGCGUGGGUGAAGGAGCGUUUCGGCGCGUAAAGCCCUAUCGGCAGGGAAGAAGGAGGACGGUACCUGACUAAGAAGCCCCGGCUAACUACGUGCCAGCAGCCGCGGUAAUACGUAGGGGGCAAGCGUUAUCCGGAUUUACUGGGUGUAAAGGGGGCGCAGACGGCAGCGCAAGCCAGGAGUGAAAGCCCGGGGCGCAACCCCGGGACUGCUCUUGGAACUGCGCGGCUGGAGUGCAGGAGGGGCAGGCGGAAUUCCUGGUGUAGCGGUGAAAUGCGUAGAUAUCAGGAGGAACACCGGUGGCGAAGGCGGCCUGCUGGACUGCGACUGACGUUGAGGCCCGAAAGCGUGGGGAGCAAACAGGAUUAGAUACCCCCGUAACU